CCUACGGGGGGCAGCAGUGGGGAAUAGUGGACAAUGGGGGCAACCCUGAUCCAGCCAUGCCGCGUGUGUGAAGAAGGCCCUCGGGUUGUAAAGCACUUUCAGUGAGGAAGAACGCCUGGUGGUUAAUACCCAUCAGGAAAGACAUCACUCACAGAAGAAGCACCGGCUAACUCCGUGCCAGCAGCCGCGGUAAUACGGAGGGUGCGAGCGUUAAUCGGAAUUACUGGGCGUAAAGCGCGCGUAGGUGGCUUGAUAAGCCGGUUGUGAAAGCCCCGGGCUCAACCUGGGAACGGCAUCCGGAACUGUCAAGCUAGAGUGCAGGAGAGGAAGGUAGAAUUCCCGGUGUAGCGGUGAAAUGCGUAGAGAUCGGGAGGAAUACCAGUGGCGAAGGCGGCCUUCUGGACUGACACUGACACUGAGGUGCGAAAGCGUGGGUAGCAAACAGGAUUAGAUACCCCUGUAGUC
rnacentral:rRNA from 1 species